rnacentral:rRNA from 1 species
UACAGAGGUCUCGAGCGUUAGGCGGAAUCACUGGGCUUAAAGCGUGUGUAGGUGGAUGCCUAAGUACCUUGUGAAAUCCCACAGCUUAACUGUGGAACUGCUUGGUAUACUGGGUGUCUUGAGUCACUCAGGGGCGAGCGGAACAAAUGGUGGAGCGGUGAAAUGCGUAGAUAUCAUUUGGAACGCCAAUGGUGAAAACAGCUCGCUGGGGGUGUACUGACACUGAGACACGAAAGCCAGGGGAGCGAACAGG